UAAGAGAUCCCCAUACGUGUUUCAUGAAAGCGUAUUCCUUCUGAAUCUUCGCGUUGUACUUCGUGUAGUUUUGGAUAAUUACCACUAGAGGGGGGAACAUGUUUUUCAUUCCACUGAUAAGAAACAUCAGCAAACUCAUGCCUCUAAGUCCCAUCGCCGAAGGCCAGGAUGCUGCUGAACCCACUUGUUCUGUAUAAUUGCGAGUAGCGGCACAGUCCGUGCUGUUACCUGCUUCCCGAGAGUAGUGGCUUUCACACUACGUCGUCGAAGAUUGUAAGGAGGCAGAUAGGAGCCAUUCUCAGGAAACUGAAGUCCGGCUGAGUCACUCUGCUGCCACGCUAAUCUUGCUGCAGCCUCACAAAAAUGUUGCACCAGACACGUUGGGCAGAAAGUGGAACGCCAGCCACAGAAGGGCUGUUGUAUCACUGCUCGAGCCCCGCAGGCAUCAUUUAAAAUGUCAAAUGUUCAGAGGCAGUCAUGUGGAGUGAUAAAGUAGGCAAUGCAGACAGAGCGUGUCUGGAAACAUCCAUUGUUCCUUCUGGGACUGAGAAAAGACCUGCUGGUCUGACUGGUUUGGGUAAAAAGAGCUAAUCUACUUAUCUACCACAUGUAUAUUUCAAAAUAUACAUUUCCUUUCACAUGUC